rnacentral:rRNA from 1 species
UACGGGGGGGGCAAGCGUUGUUCGGAAUUACUGGGCGUAAAGGGCUCGUAGGUGGCCAACUAAGUCAGACGUGAAAUCCCUCAGCUUAACUGGGGAACUGCGUCUGAUACUGGAUGGCUUGAGUUUGGGAGAGGGAUGCGGAAUUCCAGGUGUAGCGGUGAAAUGCGUAGAUAUCUGGAGGAACACCGGUGGCGAAGGCGGCAUCCUGGACCAACACUGACACUGAGGAGCGAAAGCCAGGCGAGCAAACAGG